rnacentral:rRNA from 1 species
GACGAACGCUGGCGGCGUGCUUAACACAUGCAAGUCGAACGGGGUCCAACCAAUGGCAACAUUGGGGAAGACCUAGUGGCGAACGGGUGAGUAACACGUGAGGAACCCACCCCGAUCUCAGGAAUAACAGUGGGAAACCACUGCUAAUACCGGAUGCCUUCCUCGGGUCACAUGGCUCGGCGAAGAAAGGGUUACCGGAUCGGGAGGGCCUCGCGGCCUAUCAGCUUGUUGGCGGGGUAACGGCCCACCAAGGCAGCGACGGGUAGCUGGUCAGAGAGGAUGAUCAGCCACACUGGGACUGAGACACGGCCCAGACUCCUACGGGAGGCAGCAGUGGGGAAUCUUGCGCAAUGGGCGAAAGCCUGACGCAGCAACGCCGCGUGGGGGAUGAAGGCCCUCGGGUUGUAAACCCCUUUCAGCAGGAACGAAAAUGACGGUACCUGCAGAAGAAGGCCCGGCCAACUACGUGCCAGCAGCCGCCGUAAAAC